GAUGAACGCUGGCGGCGUGCCUAAUACAUGCAAGUCGAGCGAACGGACGAGAAGCUUGCUUCUCUGAUGUUAGCGGCGGACGGGUGAGUAACACGUGGAUAACCUACCUAUAAGACUGGGAUAACUUCGGGAAACCGGAGCUAAUACCGGAUAAUAUUUUGAACCGCAUGGUUCAAAAGUGAAAGACGGUCUUGCUGUCACUUAUAGAUGGAUCCGCGCUGCAUUAGCUAGUUGGUAAGGUAACGGCUUACCAAGGCAACGAUGCAUAGCCGACCUGAGAGGGUGAUCGGCCACACUGGAACUGAGACACGGUCCAGGCUCCUACGGGAGGCAGCAGUAGGGAAUCUUCCGCAAUAGGCGAAAGCCUGACGGAGCAACGCCGCGUGAGUGAUGAAGGUCUUCGGAUCGUAAAACUCUGUUAUUAGGGAAGAACAUAUGUGUAAGUAACUGUGCACAUCUUGACGGUACCUAAUCAGAAAGCCACGGCUAACUACGUG
rnacentral:rRNA from 1 species